AUUAUAUAUUUUUUCAUAAAAAGUAAAAAAGUUAACCCAAACAUCUAUAUUUUCUUCCUCAAUUUUUUUGUUCAAAAAGACAAAAAGUGCACUUAUUUAGGAUACCCCAAACAACCCCUUAAAUGUGUUCAACUAACAAGCCAGAAUACUUAAUCACAUAAUGAAAAGAAUAACAGACUACAUCUAACAGCCCAAGAGUCCUUAAAGCAAGGCUGGUACAACCAACUCUCAUGGUAACAUAUAGUCUUUGGUAGCUAUAGACACACAAGCAAAUAGAUAUUUUUAAAUCCGCAGCCCUUCUACUUUCCCAGCAGAGAAAAGAAAAGAACUGUUCAAUUCCUCUCCUGGCAAGGCCUCUUGCUCAAAUGAGUAUUCCACAAAUUCAUCUGGGAAAGCCGCAAAUUUCCUUUCUGAAGUUAUUGGAUUGGUUCUUCCAAUGUUGCUUGAAAUACUCAUCUGGGCAAGAUGCUUUGCAUGGGAGGCUUGCAUACAUCCACUGCAUCAUCUUGAAGGGUCUUCUAUAGACAUAGAGGAGGGAACAGGGGAAAGUUACAUAGCGCAACGGUAAGACUUGAACCCAGACAUCAUGCCUAAUAAGUGAGUAUUGCAUCCACUACGCCAAUCCCUUGGUCUUUCGUACAGCUCAAUAGUAGAAAAUAUUAGUAAAUUGCAUUACAAUAAACCAU